rnacentral:rRNA from 1 species
GAUGAACGCUGGCGGCGUGCCUAAUACAUGCAAGUCGAGCGAACAGAUGAGGAGCUUGCUCCUCUGACGUUAGCGGCGGACGGGUGAGUAACACGUGGAUAACCUACCUAUAAGACUGGGAUAACUUCGGGAAACCGGAGCUAAUACCGGAUAAUAUAUUGAACCGCAUGGUUCAAUAGUGAAAGACGGUUUUGCUGUCACUUAUAGAUGGAUCCGCGCCGCAUUAGCUAGUUGGUAAGGUAACGGCUUACCAAGGCAACGAUGCGUAGCCGACCUGAGAGGGUGAUCGGCCACACGGGAACUGAGACACGGUCCAGACUCCUACGGGAGGAAGCAGUAGGGAAUCUUCCGCAAUGGGCGAAAGCCUGACGGAGCAACGCCGCGUGAGUGAUGAAGGUCUUCGGAUCGUAAAACUCUGUUAUUAGGGAAGAACAAAUGUGUAAGUAACUAUGCACGUCUUGACGGUACCUAAUCAGAAAGCCACGGCUAACUACGUG